UAAUACGAGUGGUGCAAGCGUUAUUCGGAAUAAUUGGGCGUAAAGGGUGUGUAGGCGGCAUGCUAAGUCAACUGUUAAAUUCUCCGGCCUAACCGGAGGCCAGCAGUAGAUACUGGCGUGCUGGAGUGUGGAAGAGAGAAGCGGAAUUCUCGGAGUAGCGGUAAAAUGCGUAGAUCUCGAGAGGAACACCAAUGGCGAAGGCAGCUUCUUGGUCCAUUACUGACGCUGAGACACGAAAGCGUGGGGAGCAAACAGGAUUAGAUACCCUGGUAGUCCACGCCCUAAACGAUGAUCACUAGACGUUAGUUCUGUUUUUACGGAAUUAGUGUCGUAGCUAACGCGUUAAGUGAUCCGCCUGGGAAUUACGGUCGCAAGAUUA
rnacentral:rRNA from 1 species